rnacentral:lncRNA from 1 species
GCCGGCGCGGCGGCCAUGGCGGCUGGGCCUCGGGCCUUCCUCGCGGCCGCCUGCGUGGCGGGGAGGAGGGGGUGCUCAGCGUCUGUGGUUGCUGGCUCGGCCUCACUGCUCUGCUCAAAAGGAGGAAGAAGAAAAAGAUGUCUUAAAUGCAAAGCCUCGUUGCCAGUUUUCCUCUAAGCUGGUCUGUAGAGCUGAAACUGCUGCAGCAUCUCUGCAUACACAGAGCUUCUCUUCUGAGGACGAGGAGCUUGGCUCUUCAGCAGUCACUGGAAAGGCCUCCUAACUUCAGGAAGCAGAAGUCCAUUUAAUCGGAGAGGUUUGCAGCUAUCAAUGCUGAGGCUCCUGAAUUCAAAGAAAUGUGUUGAGCAAGUUGUAGGCUUGUUCGCUCCAUGUGCCAGAAGAUAAAAAAAAUGGGCAUAUGCAGUUCUGGCUCAUAUCACUACUGUAGCUGUCAACCAGUACUGGCUACAGACAUGGACACAAUACAGGAAAGGAUAACUACUACAGAAAAAAGAUCUAUUACAUCUAUACAGGUCUUGCUGGAUUCUGCUUCACAAAUCAUGGACCCUAGCACUGUAGGCUCAGAAUACUGUGAUGUGUAUUUUCCUUUAAAAAAAUUCUCCAGCCUGGUGAUGUUUGCAUCACUCUGCUGCAUUUUGCUGACCAUACUGAAGGGUUCUGCUGCUAAGGAUUUACCAAAGACGGGGCAUAUGUACAGCUAGUAUUAACUAUGAAGCACCCCACAGAAUACUCAAGGCAUUGUGCUUCACCUAUGGAUCAGAAAGAUGUGGAUGGAAAUAGCUGAUCUUUCCUCCUUCCUGACCUGUGGAAUGCUAUUAUAAAUUACUGCUGAGCAAGCAUUGAUCUUUAUAAAGUGUGGACUACCUGAGGCGCUCUUGCCCUAGAAAAGAAGGGGGAAUGAGAUCCGUAUGGACGCCAUUGCCUCCUGGAAUGGCUGAGAUGCAGGCUUUAUAAGUUAACCUAGCCUGUUUAAUAUGUUUACUGCCCUCUGCAUGCAUUCUACCUUUAUCUAAGGAACUUAGUCCUUUUUUGAGUUACCCUCAUGUGACAGACCUCCAGCCUUCUCUUAUGAUAACCAGUUGAAAAGCUUCAAUUGUUCUGUUGCACUGCAGAAAAUACAGCAUUUUUUAAACAUAGCAUCUUAUUCUUAAUUGAGCUUUGUAUAUUCCAUACACAAUAAAUGUCUAAAGCUGUAUUGCA